rnacentral:rRNA from 1 species
GAUGAACGCUGGCGGUAUGCUUUACACAUGCAAGUCGAACGCAAGUUUUAACUUGAGUGGCGGACGGGUGAGUAACACGUGAGAAUUCGCCUUUAGGCGGGGAAUAACCAUUGGAAACAGUAGCUAAUGCCCCAUAUGCUUUUAAAAGUGAAAGGAAAUUUUUCCACCCGAAGAGAAGCUCGCGGCUGAUUAGCUAGUUGGUUAAGGUAAUGGCUUACCAAGGCGACGAUCAGUAACCGGUUUGAGAGAACGAUCAGUCACACUGGAACUGAGAAUGGGUCCAGACACCUACGGGAGACAGCAGUGGGGAAUUUUCCGCAAUGGGCGAAAGCCUGACGGAGCAAUACCGCGUGAGGGACAAAGGCCUUCGGGUUGUAAACCUCUUUUAUCAAGGAGGAAAUUUUAACGUGUACUUGAUGAAUAAGCAUCGGCUAACUCCGUGCCAGCCGCCGCAGUAAUAC